UUCCAGACUCCUACGGGAGGCAGCAGUGGGGGAUAUUGCACAAUGGGGGAAACCCUGAUGCAGCGACGCCGCGUGAGUGAAGAAGUAUUUCGGUAUGUAAAGCUCUUUCAGCAGGGAAGAAAGGUGCCCCUUGGGCGCCUGGACGGUACCUGACUAAGAAGCCCCGGCUAACUACGUGCCAGCAGCCGCGGUAUUACGUAGGGGGCAAGCGUUAUCCGGAUUUACUGGGUGUAAAGGGAGCGUAGACGGCAGAGCAAGUCCGGAGUGAAAGCCCGGGGCCCAACCCCGGGACUGCUCUGGAAACUGUUAAGCUGGAGUGCGGGAGGGGCAGGCGGAAUUCCUGGUGUAGCGGUGAAAUGCGUAGAU
rnacentral:rRNA from 1 species